CCUCCAGGCUCCACCUCCCCUAAACCCUAGCCGCCACUCGACCGAUGUUCCCCUCUUGCUCUCUCCCUUGCCCUCACGGCGGCGGCGGCGGCCGGCCAUCGCUCGCUUUUCUCCGCCGUUGACGACCAGUCCCCUUCCUCCUCCAUCGCCCCUCUCCUACGGAUCGGAAAUGAGUUCUCGUAUAUCAAAGGUGCCGUGCCGAUAUGGAUGGACCCAAUUUAAAUGACGUACUCCCUCCAUAUUUUUAUAUUUGGUGCUGCUAACUUUUCACAUCAGAAGUUUGACCAUUAAUCUUGGAUUAGUUCGAUGAAGAGCCGAUGAAGAUGAUGAAGAAAAAGAUGUAAUACAAUGAGGUUUACACUAUGAUCCAAGCCUAGAAGUGACGGAAGAUGUCUAGAUGUGGUGAAGAGUUGGCAAUACUUGGCUACGCGAUGGACCAUGCAUGGGAGAAGGGCAAGCGGAGGCUUGACGCCAAAGGACCCAACUCAGUGCUGGAGGAGCAAGUGCUUGGCUGAACACCGACGAACCGAUCGAGGCCAUGGGAUGGAUGGCACAAGUUGCUGAGGAUCAACCCUUGGUGAAGAAACAGCGUAAGAUGUAAUGUCGAAGAACAUGAGGAUGUGAUUUGUUGAUGAACAUCAAGCCAAAGGCCAUUCAGCAUUGAUCAAGGCAAUGAAGAAGAUGGCGUAAAGUUGGAAAUGCUGGAAACACCCUCCAACAAUGACAGUGCAUCUGGAGCGUGCACGUGGAAGACCAGGAUGAACCUGGGCUGGCCCAUCCGGCCUCCACUUUUGGCAGGUGCGUCUUUUGUUGGGCUUUAUUCUCCGUGAUGUGGUGGUUGGGCCUAUUUGAUGUUAUUUUAUUGGAUAUGUAAGCCCAUCCACCCAUGAGUCUACCUCU